GACGAACGCUGGCGGCGUGCCUAAUACAUGCAAGUAGAACGCUGAAGAGAGGAGCUUACUCUUCUUGGAUGAGUUGCGAACGGGUGAGUAACGCGUAGGUAACCUGCCUUGUAGCGGGGGAUAACUAUUGGAAACGAUAGCUAAUACCGCAUAACAAUGGGUGACACAUGUCAUUUAUUUGAAAGGGGCAAUUGCUCCACUACAAGAUGGACCUGCGUUGUAUUAGCUAGUAGGUGAGGUAAUGGCUCACCUAGGCGACGAUACAUAGCCGACCUGAGAGGGUGGUCGGCCACACUGGGACGGAGACACGCCCCAAAAUCCUACGGGAGGCAGCAGUAGGGAAUCUUCGGCAAUGGGGGCAACCCUGACCGAGCAACGCCGGGUGAGUGAAGAAGGUUUUCGGAUCGUAAAGCUCUGUUGUACGUCAAGAACGGGAGUGAGAGUGGAAAGUUCACACUGUGACGGUAGCUUACCAGAAAGAGACGGCUAACUACGUG
rnacentral:rRNA from 1 species